AUGCUGACAGGGCCACACUUGUUUCUUCUCAGCCCAUCCCAGAGGACAUGUGCAGUUCAUGUUGGCAGCUCCCUGCAGCCCUCUGCCUGUAGGUGUUCUCUGGCCACUGGAGUAUGUGCUGGCCUCAUAGAGAAAGUGCCAGAAACCCCAGGGAGUUGGCCAAUGAGGGAUGAUAUGAGAAAAGACUUCUGCUUCCUCACCCUGCAGAGAACAAUUCUCAGGCAUGUUCCACAAAGCCAUCAGAGCACCCAGCUGCCCACCAUGGCCACCUGAUCAUGAACACAACUUCUCUGUCUUUCUUCCCCUCCUGGUCCCACUUGCCCACUCCCUUAUCAUACUUCCUUGGAAACUGCUUCCACCCAAAUCAUUGUUGCAAGGUCUGCUUUGUCAGGGAGCUCAAAACAUGACAGAGCACACAAGGGCAGCUUCAGGACUGUGCAGGCCGUGAGGCCACAGAAAAAUCCACAAGAAAGGCCAGAAAACAGAGUGCAGAGGCCAAUCCCUUCUGCUUCCCAAGGGGAUGCCAGCGCCCUCAGACUUGGCCCUGGAGCAGAUUAGAAUCUUGGCAGCCACUAACCACAGCCAUCCAUCUCCUGCCUCAGCAAUGCUCCAACGGACAACCAGGAGGGAGAGUUUUAAUUAUUCCCCAGAUCAGUCGAUAGAUCAGAUGUACAAACGAGCAGUCCACUCCUUCCUUGUUAUGAUUGCUGCUGCUCCACUCCUGCCUGUAAACCCUGGCCCACAUCCAGGCCUUUGUUUUGUUUUGAAAACAGCAGAAGUAACAACAUGAAUUUUCUGUUGAAAAAAAAAGAAAGGCACUCCACUAAGCUAUUUUUAUUUCCUGGCUGACAGUCCUUUCAUAACCUCCAAUGGGUAGCAAAUUAAUUGGGGACUUGAAAAUACAAUUUUCCAUAGGUGAUUAUUAUAAAACGUUGGGCUGCUUUGCAAAGAAGGGACUGUCUCCUAUCUCAGGCUAGGAAAAUUCUGUGCAUUUUUUUUUUUUUUUGCAUCGUCUCUAAGACAUCAUUUGCCAAUUACCUUUGAAAUGCUUCACUGGCAACUCUCCAAAACAAGCCUCCUCCUUGCUAACAGGGUGCUUGUGGGAGUUCUAGGUGCCUCCUUUAGACAGCUUUAUAUGCACAGUCUCCCUCAACACAAGCAGUCCCAACGGAGCAGAGAGCUGCUACUUGGACUAAUAACGAUGCCCCAACAUCACAGGUGAAUAAUUACCAGGCCUUGUGCUCUUCAGAAGCGGGGAUAAGAGAGGAUGUUGAAGGGCAGAAGUGCCUGUUUCCACUCCAUUCAAAGAGCUUUAGGUUAGAAUUUGUCCUUGAAAAAACUUCUCUCCCUCUUUCUCUGUUUCUCCUCUCUUACUCUAUCUUUUUCUGUCUCUCUCUCUAAUAAUGUGUCCAGUUUCUUUCCAAUAUGAGAUUUCAAUUAAUUGACUGAGCUCCUGUAAUUAAAGGAAAAGCUGGCACUUAAGCCCUGUCACACAUUGCUGGGGAGGGAGUUAUAUUCACACACACUGGAUAGUUAGGGCACUGCACAGUAGAAUAUGUAGUCAAGUAUAAAACGAACUUUUUUUUUCAGCAUUGCUGAAAAGUAAGAGAGGAAGAUGGAAGAGGGUGAAAACAUCAUCUGGACAGCAGUCUCGGAAGCCCAUGGUGAUUCCACCCACUUCAUGCAGGAUGUCACAGAUGGCUCGUGACCCCUGCUGGGGCCCUUGUACUCAUUCCUAGAAAACUCCUCCUUAUAUUGAGCUGGAAAUGGACCCCAGAAUCCCUGGUUCUCUCUCCCCUCUAGAAUACUAAGUUUGUUUCUUCUUCCCCAGGAGAUGUGAAGUCAGUUUCCCUGAAUGCUCAGACCUCUUUUUCCAUGAGCUCUAAUUCCCUGACUCUGAAUGAAGAUUUUUUUCAGUGAUCAUAUUAAUCUUAUUCUGUAGCCAAUAUUUUAAUGGCAUUGGGAAUGAAAAGAAGCCAGACAUAUUUUAGGAUUUAAACUCAAUAAACCAAGCCUAACUUAAACUUCUAUGUUUACA
rnacentral:lncRNA from 1 species